AUGCUUACACAACCAGUUUAUUUAUUUAUUUUUAGUUUUAAAAUUAAAACCAUUCUGUACUUUUUAUUUAUUUAUCUAAUCAUUUACUAUUACCAUGAAUCAGUUCUGACUAAAACAAUGGGUACUUUUCCUUGGUUGUUGCCCAUAUUCAAAUUACUCAGGAUUUAUGGUUGUUGUAGUGUAACAUGUCUUUCCACAUCUUAAUCCGGUGACAUCUUUGUUUGGGAGCUUUUAUUUCUGCACCUUUAACCCUCUGGAGUCUAAGAGUAUUUUUGGGGCCUGGAGAAGUUUUGUCAUGCCCUGACAUUUGUGCUUUUUUUCAGUUUCUUAUAAAUAUCUAAAUGGCUAAAGUCUAAUCUCACUGUAAUCAGCACAAACUAGGCUAUAAUAAUAUGUGAGCAGCAUGUAUGUACAUGAUUGUGUUUUUGAGAAAAAAAAAAUUAUGCGUGGUUAGUGAAAAACUAAAAAUGUUAAAUCACUUGAAUAAGGCAAUAAAACACAUACAGAAAAUUGGUUCCCGGGACUUUUGAGAACUGGAGCUUGUAGCCUAGAAUUUUUUUUUUUCUAAAUGAUGUGAAAAUCAUCUUGUUUACUCACUUACAGAAAACAAUAUAUUGAUUUAAAUUUUCUAAGACACUUUUUGUUGGUAAAAGUCAUAUGCGAGUAGGCGUCAACUAUCAUGAAUUCACACCUGAGAAGACAAAGGCCUGCAUAAUGAGCUGCAUAAUGAGCCAUUCAGUCACCUGUGUCACUGAGAGGGAUGAGUUACAAAAAAGAAUGUGAGGACAAAAUAAAUGUAUAUAAUUUUAUGUUUGUAGUUUAUUUAGAAUAUAUUUAAUUAUCCAACAACAUAAUUUAAUAUUCACUUGUGAGUGCAGUUUAUUAGGAACAAUCAAAGCUGACUUUCUAACUGAAUUUUUUGCAUCAUUACUCCAGUCACACAAUCCUUCAGAAAUCCUUUUAACAAUCUUAUUUUUCUACAAAACAUUUAUUGUUAUUAUUAUCAUUAUUAUUAUUAUUAUUAUUAUUAAUAAUAAUGUUGAAAAGAGCUGAGAAUAUUUUUUUUUCAGGUUUUUUAGGGGGGAUAAAUUGAAAGAACAGCAAUGUUUGUUACAUUUGUUACAGUUACAUUUAUUGUUACAUUUAUAUUAUUUACAUCAAGCUUUUGAAUGGUAUAGUAGUAUUGUUAUUGAAACUUCAUAAUAUUUCACUUGAUUAUACAUUUAGUCAGGAAUUAUAAUUUGGAAAAAGUCUUUGGAAAAAGUCUAACUAGUAAAAUGCUUACACGUUAUGUGAAAACUAGUACAAGUAUAUAAAUAAAUAAAAAGAGACUUACUCAUGUUUAUGAUCUCUGCUGAAUAAAGUGCUUCAUUAUUUUUUUCUGAGGAAAUCCAAAUCUCAAAUCCUCAACCACACC
ensembl:lncRNA